rnacentral:sRNA from 1 species
UGCUUCUUGCAGAGUCGCUCAAAAGUAGGGCCCCAGGGCUCGCAGCAGCAUGGGCACCGAGAAAGAAAGCCCAGAGCCCGACUGCCAGAAACAGUUCCAGGCUGCAGUGAGCGUCAUCCAGAACCUGCCCAAGAACGGUUCUUACCGCCCCUCCUAUGAAGAGAUGCUGCGAUUCUACAGUUACUACAAGCAGGCCACCAUGGGGCCCUGCCUGGUCCCCCGGCCCGGGUUCUGGGACCCCAUUGGACGAUAUAAGUGGUGAGCUCCCUGCUGGCUGGGCAAACAAGCCUCAGCUGUCAAGCAGCCCUCUCACAGCCCUCUGCCCCCAGGGACGCCUGGAACAGUCUGGGCAAGAUGAGUAGGGAAGAGGCCAUGUCUGCCUACAUCACUGAAAUGAAACUGGUGGCACAGAAGGUGAUCGACACAGUGCCCCUGGGUGAGGUGGCAGAGGACAUGUUUGCUUACUUCGAGCCCCUGUACCAGGUGAUCCCUGACAUGCCGAGGCCCCCAGAGACCUUCCUGAGAAGGGUCACAGGUUGGAAAGAGCAGGUUGUGAAUGGAGAUGUUGGGGCUGUUUCAGAGCCUCCCUGCCUCCCUAAGGAACCGGCACCCCCAAGCCCAGGUUAGUGCUUGAGCAGGAGGGGUGGACCAAACUCAGGCUGGGGGAGGGCUGGAGGGGAGAAGGCUGGAUGCCACUCUGUGCCCUCCACAGACACAGACUUCUUGUGCUCCCAAAGGUGGGGACCGGGGUCUAGGAUUCCUGUUCCAGGGCCUUGCUUCUGGUGCCCAUCUGUGCCUCAGG